AAUUAGCUGGGUGUGGUGGGAUGUGCCUGUAAUUCCAGCUUGGGAGGCUGAGGCACGAGAAUUGCUUGAACCUGGGAGGCAGAGGUUGCAGUGAGCUGAGAACAUGCCACUGUACUCCAACCUGGGUGACGGAGUGAGACUUUGUCACAAAAAAAACCAAAAGACUCACAAGUAGUAUCUAAAGAUGAAAAAUACCAGAUAUAAUAUCCAAAACUGGGGGAAAAACUGGAUGUGAUUAACAGCAGAUUAGACACUGCGGAAAAAAAGAUCAUUAAAUGUGAAGGUAUAGCAGUAGAACCUAUUCACAUUGAAGCACAAAGAGAAAAAAAAAUACUAGAACAAAGUUAAUAGAACAUCAGUAACCUGUGGGACAAUAGCAAGUUGCAAUGGCAUAGUCUUGGCUCACUGCAACCUCCCCCUCCUGGAUUCAAGAUGAUUCUUUUCCCUCAGCCUCCCAAGUAGCUGGGAUUACAGGCGCAUGCCACCACACCCAGC
rnacentral:lncRNA from 1 species